GACGAACGCUGGCGGCGUGCUUAACACAUGCAAGUCGAACGGAAAGGCCUCUUUCGGGGGGUACUCGAGUGGCGAACGGGUGAGUAACACGUGAGUAACCUGCCCUUGACUUUGGGAUAACUUCAGGAAACUGGGGCUAAUACCGGAUAGGAGCUCCUGCUGCAUGGUGGGGGUUGGAAAGUUUCGGCGGUUGGGGAUGGACUCGCGGCUUAUCAGCUUGUUGGUGGGGUAGUGGCUUACCAAGGCUUUGACGGGUAGCCGGCCUGAGAGGGUGACCGGCCACAUUGGGACUGAGAUACGGCCCAGACUCCUACGGGAGGCAGCAGUGGGGAAUAUUGCACAAUGGGUGGAAGCCUGAUGCAGCAACGCCGUGUGCGGGAUGACGGCCUUCGGGUUGUAAACCGCUUUCGCUCAUGACGAAGCUUUGUGUGACGGUAGUGGGUAAAGAAGCACCGGCUAACUAC
rnacentral:rRNA from 1 species